GACCGUUUCACUACGGAAGGGCUGUAUUUAUUGGAUACCAAAACCAUCCUUCCCUCGGGAAGUUUUGUUUGAUGAUUCACAAUAACUGAUCGGAUCGCCACUGUGGUGGCGACAGGUCAUUCAACAUUCUGCCCUAUCAGCUUUCGAUGGUUGUGUAGUGGACAACCAUGGCCAUAACGGGUAACGGAGAAUUAGGGUUCGAUUCCGGAGAAGGAGCUUGAGAAUUGGCUACUACAUCUAAGGAAGGCAGCAGGCGCGCAAAUUACCCAAUCCCGAUUCGGGGAGGUAGUGACAAAAAAUAACAAUACCGGGCCUUUUUGGGCUUGGUAAUUGGAGUGAGGGAGAGUUAAACGGACCAUCGAGUAUCCAUUGGAGGGCAAGUCUGGUGCCAGCAGCUGCGGUAAUACCAGCUCCAAUAGCGUAUAUUAAGGUUGUUGCAGUUAAAAAGCUCGUAGUUGGACUUGUGUGCGCUGUCCGCGGGUGGCCUGCGCCCAAAAGGGCGUUUCGGUUCGGCCCCGGUGGCGCCUUGAAAUCUGCAGCUGGGGGGACGUUGGCCUUAACUGGUCGGCGACCGCACGCCGGCUGCUUGGUUACUGUGAGAAAAUUAGAGUGUUCAAGGCAGGCAUUGGGUGCAAUUGAAUACAUUAGCAUGGAAUAAUAAAAUAUGGCUCCUGCCGUAUUUUGUUGGUUUUGACUGGUGGGAGUAAUGAUUAAUAGGGACGGUUGGGGGUGCUAGUAUUGAGCGGCCAGAGGUGAAAUUCAUGGAUUCGCUCAAGACUAACUUAUGCGAAAGCAUUCACCAAGGACGUCCUCUUUAAUCAAGAACGAAAGUUGGGGGAUCGAAGACGAUCAGAUACCGUCGUAGUCUCAACCAUAAACUAUGUCGACUUGGGAUCGGCGGUAGUUUUUUCAUUAAGACACUGUCGGGACCACGGGAGAAAUCAAAGUGUCUGGACUCUGGGGGAAGUAUGGUCGCAAGGCUGAAACUUGAAGGAAUUGACGGAAGGGCACCACCAGGAGUGGAGCCUGCGGCUUAAUUUGACACAACACGGGGAAACUUACCAGGUCCAGAGAUGUAGAGGAUUGACAGAUUGAAGCUCUUUCUUGAUCACUUCGGUGGUGGUGCAUGGCCGUUCUUAGUUGGUGGAGUGAUUUGUCUGGUUAAUUCCGUUAACGAACGAGACCUCAGCCUGCUAGUGUAGUCGGCUGGAUUGCCUUUGGCGAC
rnacentral:rRNA from 1 species